rnacentral:rRNA from 1 species
AUUGAACGCUGGCGGCAGGCCUAACACAUGCAAGUCGAGCGAGAGGCGGACGGGUGAGUAAUGUCUGGGAACCUGCCUGAUGGAGGGGGAUAACUACUGGAAAAGGUAGCUAAUACCGCAUACCAUCAGAUGGGCCCAGGUGGGAUUAGCUAGUCGGUGGGGUAAAGGCUCACCUAGGCGACGAUCCCUAGCUGGUCUGAGAGGAUGAACGGCCACACUGGAACUGAGACACGGUCCAGACUCCUACGGGAGGCAGCAGUGGGGAAUAUUGCACAAUGGGCGCAAGCCUGAUGCAGCCAUGCCGCGUGUGUGAAGAAGGUCUUCGGGUUGUAAAGCACUUUCAGCGGGGAGGCGUUACCCGCAGAAGAAGCACCGGCUAACUCCGUGCCAGCAGCCGCGGUAAUAC